UACGUAGGCAGCGAGCGUUGUUCGGAGUUACUGGGCGUAAAGAGUGCGUAGGCGGUUUUCUAAGUUUGGUGUGAAAUCUCCCGGCUUAACUGGGAGGGUGCGCCGAAGACUGGAAGGCUUGAGUAUGGGAGAGGUGAGCGGAAUUCCUGGUGUAGCGGUGAAAUGCGUAGAUAUCAGGAGGAACACCUGCGGUGUAGACGGCUUACUGGACCAUAACUGACGCUGGAGGCACGAAAGCGUGGGUAGCAAACAGG
rnacentral:rRNA from 1 species